GACGAACGCUGGCGGCGUGCCUAAUACAUGCAAGUAGAACGCACAGUUUAUACCGUAGCUUGCUACACCAUAGACUGUGAGUUGCGAACGGGUGAGUAACGCGUAGGUAACCUGCCUGGUAGCGGGGGAUAACUAUUGGAAACGAUAGCUAAUACCGCAUAAUAUUAAUUAUUGCAUGAUAAUUAAUUGAAAGGUGCAAUUGCACCACUACCAGAUGGACCUGCGUUGUAUUAGCUAGUAGGUGAGGUAACGGCUCACCUAGGCGACGAUACAUAGCCGACCUGAGAGGGGGAGCGGCCACACUGGGACUGGGACACGGCCCAGACUCCUACGGGAGGCAGCAGGAGGGAAGCUUCGGCAAUGGACGAAAGUCUGACCGAGCAACGCCGCGGGAGGGAAGAAGGGUUUCGGAUCGUAAAGCUCUGUUGUAAGAGAAGAACGGGUGUGAGAGUGGAAAGUUCACACUGUGACGGUAUCUUACCAGAAAGGGACGGCUAACUACGUG
rnacentral:rRNA from 1 species